CCACCUAUGCUAAAAGCAUUGAACUAUAUACUAACUGGAACGGCAUCGGCCAUAAGCAGCUAUUGUCAGGGGCCGUAGCGAGUAUUUGUAUGAUAGAGACGGGUACAGGUAGGUAUUCCGCGUCGUGUUCAUCACAUGUGCUUAUAUGCCGACUUUUAUACUGCGUCAUAUAUUUUGUUUAUUUUUGUUUACAACGAACUGUUUUUAAAUUUGCAAACAUGGUUAUGGGAUGUGUGGCAUAUCAAUGCAAUAAUGUGCAUAAUAAGAAUAGUAAUAUUCAAUUUCAUGGUUUUCCGUUUAAACGACCUGAAAUCCUGACAAUGUGGAUCAAUGCCAUAAGGUGGGAGGACUGGACACCAUCCAAAAGUAGCAAAUUAUGCAGUGUCCACUUUUUGGACACUGAUUAUCAAAUACGCCCUGGGACCAGUGUUAAAUUAUUAAAGUGUGAUGCAGU